rnacentral:rRNA from 1 species
UACGGGGGGGGCAAGCGUUGUUCGGAAUUACUGGGCGUAAAGGGUGCGUAGGCGGCGCGGUAAGUCGGGUGUGAAAUCUCGGAGCUUAACUCCGAAACUGCAUUCGAUACUGCCGUGCUUGAGGACUGGAGAGGAGACUGGAAUUUACGGUGUAGCGGUGAAGUGCGUAGAUAUCGUAAGGAAGACCAGUGGCGAAGGCGGGUCUCUGGACAGUUCCUGACGCUGAGGCACGAAGGUCAGGGGAGCAAACGGG